rnacentral:rRNA from 1 species
AGUGAACGCUGGCGGUAGGCCUAACACAUGCAAGUCGAACGGCAGCACAGUAAGAGCUUGCUCUUACGGGUGGCGAGUGGCGGACGGGUGAGGAAUACAUCGGAAUCUACUUUUUCGUGGGGGAUAACGUAGGGAAACUUACGCUAAUACCGCAUACGACCUACGGGUGAAAGCAGGGGAUCUUCGGACCUUGCGCGAUUGAAUGAGCCGAUGUCGGAUUAGCUAGUUGGCGGGGUAAAGGCCCACCAAGGCGACGAUCCGUAGCUGGUCUGAGAGGAUGAUCAGCCACACUGGAACUGAGACACGGUCCAGACUCCUACGGGAGGCAGCAGUGGGGAAUAUUGGACAAUGGGCGCAAGCCUGAUCCAGCCAUACCGCGUGGGUGAAGAAGGCCUUCGGGUUGUAAAGCCCUUUUGUUGGGAAAGAAAAGCAGCAGGUUAAUACCCCGCUGCUCUGACGGUACCCAAAGAAUAAGCACCGGCUAACUACGUG